rnacentral:sRNA from 12 species
AAUGAUACUCUUACGUUCGGCGUAACUCGCAAUUGUGUAGGCGAGAUAUAGGGCUUCCGACUGGAACUUAUGUCGGUUGAUCUAUAU